UACGGAGGGGGCUAGCGUUGUUCGGAAUUACUGGGCGUAAAGCGCACGUAGGCGGCUUUGUAAGUUAGAGGUGAAAGCCCGGGGCUCAACUCCGGAAUUGCCUUUAAGACUGCAUCGCUAGAAUUGUGGAGAGGUAAGUGGAAUUCCGAGUGUAGAGGUGAAAUUCGUAGAUAUUCGGAAGAACACCAGUGGCGAAGGCGGCCCGCUGGGCUGUUGCUGACGCUGAGGCGCGACAGCGUGGGGAGCAAACAGG
rnacentral:rRNA from 1 species